UUGGAUCUUGGUACCUUGGUUACCUCUUGUCACUUUGCAUGGUUGUGUUGGUAUCCUUUGAGACGUUAAAGACGCUUGUGUAACUCGCCCACUUGUAUGGAUUGUUUGAUCACCUGGCACUCUUGUUGGGACCUUGUCCUUCUUGUGGCUGUGACUUUGUCACUCUUGGCAUGCCUCUUGAUUCGGAUCAUUUGCCAUCUUGACUCUGG
rnacentral:lncRNA from 1 species